AAUUUUGGACAAUGGGGGCAACCCUGACCCAGCAAUCCCGCGUGCGCGAUUAAGGCCUACGGGUUGUAAAGCACUUUUGGCAGGGAAGAAAAGGUUCCGGCUAAUAGCUGGAACGGCUGACGGUACCUGCAGAAUAAGCAUCGGCUAACUACGUGCCAGCAGCCGCGGUAAUACGUAGGGUGCAAGCGUUAAGCGGAAUUACUGGGCGAAAAGUGUGCGAAGGCGGUUCGGCAAGAAGGAUGUGAAAUCCCGGGGCUUAACCUCGGAACUGCAUUCUUAACUGCCGGGCUAGAGUAUGUCAGAGGGGGGUAGAAUUCCACGUGUAGCAGUGAAAUGCGUAGAGAUGUGGAGGAAUACCGAUGGCGAAGGCAGCCCCCUGGGAUGAUACUGACGCUCAUGCACGAAAGCGUGGGGAGCAAAC
rnacentral:rRNA from 1 species